AAACAGACCAAACUCAACCAAGCUAUACGUACCGUGUAUGAAGAACCGCAGAUAACCGGUCGGAAGAGGUACCGACCAUGAGGCAAACCCCUGCAGCCGAUUAUUCUGUCUGAAUGGUACGUACUACCAUUUAUGAGGCUGCUGGCCAAUCAGUUGGUGCAGCCGAUCAACAUAUCGAGGACGUUAAUCAACUGACUAGAAUUGUCAACCAACCUUCGGGCGACCAGGAAUAGUGGGAACGGUACCAUCC